GUUUACGCCAUUCUCCUGUCUCAGCCUCCCGAGUACCUGGGACUACAGGCGCCGCCACCUCGCCCGGCUAGUUUUUUGUAUUUUUAGUAGAGACAGGGUUUCACCGUGUUAGCCAGGAUGGUCUCGAUCUCCUGACCUCGUGAUCCGCCCGUCUCGGCCUCCCAAAGUGCUGGGAUUACAGGCUUGAGCCACCGCGCCCGGCCGAAUUGUAAGAUUAUACUAACAUUCCUUUGUAAAGGGCACAGUGCAAUGGUGUUCUGUGUUUAUAUUAUGGCUCAUUUGUGAUGUUGGUCCUGGUCCAAAUUCUGAGGUUGUAGAUGGAACUAAAGUCAAUGUAGUGUAAAAUAUAUUAAAAGCCAAUAAUGGCUGAUUACUGAAUUUGUUUUUUUUUUUAACACCAAUAUAAAAAAAUUAUAUUUUUCAAUGAUGGCUGCAACAAUAUCCCCCAUCACACUGUGUGACUUUGACACUCUACCUACUAAGAGAUGGUAUCAGUGACAACCCUCCCCGCCCCUUGAAACUGGGCAGGCUUGUAACCAUGGGAGAAGUGAUAAUUAUGUGACUUUUGAGGCUGGGUCGUAACAGGUAAAAUAGAUUCCCACUGGUUUUCUGGGGACACUUGCAUCUGAAACCCUACUGUGGAGUUUGAGAAAGGCCAUAUGAAGAGGCUAUGGCAGCCUGAAAGAACUAAGACACUAAGUGUUUCAACUGACAGUCCAGAUGAGGACUCAGUCUAAAACCAGUAUCAAUGGACAAAUAUAUCAGUGCAGAUGGCCCUAGAUGAUUCCAGCCCCCAGUUUUUGAGUCACCAUGACCAUCAAAUCUUCCCAGAAGAGACCCCUGACAUCAUGGAAGAAAGAAAAGCCAUCUUCAUUGUUCCGUGUCCAAAUUCCUGUCCCAUAGAAGCCAUGAAAGAUAAUAAAAUUACUGUGUUAUGUCA